rnacentral:misc_RNA from 1 species
UUGUGGAGGAGGACGCCGAAGGUGGGGCUAAUGACUGGGGUGAAGUCGUAACAAGGUAGCCGUACCGGAAGGUGCGGCUGGAUCACCUCCUAACAGGGAGACAACAAAAUGUUUAAUAUUAUUAUUUUGUCACCUUAGGUCGAUCGGUAUCUCACGUUCUUAAUUUGUUAAGAAUUUCAUUUCCUAAGUUUUUCUAGGUCACACCCAUUAUUUUUCCUGGGCCAUUAGCUCAGGUGGUUAGAGCGCACCCCUGAUAAGGGUGAGGUCCCUGGUUCAAGUCCAGGAUGGCCCAUAUCUCUAUGUUGGGGGUAUAGCUCAGUUGGUAGAGCGCCUGCUUUGCAAGCAGGAUGUCAGCGGUUCGAGUCCGCUUACCUCCACUGAUUACCACCUCUUCCAUAACUGGUAGAAAGGAGAUGUUUUGAGUUGUGAUUAUUAUUCUGAACGAAUCUAGCUUCCUAAUGAAAUCAUUAAGAUGCUGGACUCAUUGAAUUAAUUUCAUUGUUUUCAGAGAACCUUGACAACUGCAUAGAUUUUUUUAAAGACAAUAAGCAUCUUUAAUGAUGCAGAUUUAUUAUUUGUGCGAAUGCAUUAAUAACAAUUCUAUUAAGCUGAUGCUUCAAUUUUUGAAGUUAUUGGUCAAGCUACAA